UACGGGGGGGCAAGCGUUGUUCGGAAUUACUGGGCGUAAAGGGCUCGUAGGUUGCCAACUAAGUCAGACGUGAAAUCCCUCGGCUUAACCGGGGAACUGCGUCUGAUACUGGAUGGCUUGAGUUCGGGAGAGGGAUGCAGAAUUCCAGGUGUAGCGGUGAAAUGCGUAGAUAUCUGGAGGAACACCGGUGGCGAAGGCGGCAUCCUGGACCGACACUGACACUGAGGAGCGAAAGCCAGGGGAGCAAACGGG
rnacentral:rRNA from 1 species